AUUAAUUUAUAAAAGAAAUUCUCCUAAUAAAAUGAAAAUUUCUCCAAAAUAUUCUAAAUUAUUUUCUAAUGAUUUAAGAAGACAUUAUUUUAAAGAUAAAAAUGCUACAUCUACUCCGAAUAGAAAAAACAUAGUACCAAAAAAUUUUAACAUUUAAACUGUGUUGAUGAAUACACUCAAGUGAUGAAUAUAGAUGUUGCAAUGAAAGAAGAUUUUCAUAAUUUUUUUUGCAAAAUUACAGAUGUACUAGACUUUUUGUCUUAAUUUAAUUUAAUAAAUCAAGGUUAGAAGAAUACAAUGCAAUAUAAUUUAAGAAAAAGUAGACAUGAAAAUAGUUGGAAAGAAUGUAUUUAAUAUAUAAAAUAUGUACAUGUUAAAUUAAAUUCUAUUUUUACAAUAGUU